rnacentral:lncRNA from 1 species
AUGGAGAAAGAAAGAGAUGGAGGGAGACGGCGUGAAGGACAAGGAGGCUGACCACCAUCGUUAGAGGGAGGCUUGGCGUUGGCAUCAUCACAUUCAGAUGAAAUAGAUGGAGAAAGAAAGAGAUGGAGGGAGACGGCGUGAAGGACAAGGAGGCUGACCACCAUCGUUAGAGGGAGGCUUGGCGUUGGCAUCAUCACCAUCCACACGCUGGUUGUAUUCCGGCGAACCUAGGGUUCUGCUGUGACUUCCGACGGUGGUGGAUAGGGUCAAAUCAACCACCAAAACCGGCGGCGACUAGGGUUUCGUGGUGUAAGGGGUUGCUGAUGAGAUUCAAAUCCCACUCAGGGAGAUUUUUGUUGAGUAUCUUGAGAGGUAUUGGACACCUCUUCUUCAUCACCAAACGCAUGCUAAAAGCACCAAGAAGAUUGUGCUGAGGUUGCAAGCAUGUGUCCCGGCAUCCAAUUAAGGUUAGCUUUGAAUCUCUUUUGAUGUUUUUUUAUUUACUUUUGUUGUUGUUACUGUUGCUUUUUUUAUGUUUUGUGCAUAGAUGCAAACAUUUUGACAUUGGUGGAGACAAAGGCCAAUGGAACUAAACAAAAAAGAUGCAAACAUUUUGGCAUUGGUGCAGAGAUGCAAACUUUUUGACAUUUGUAUACGUCGUAUGUGUUAAUUCGUCGAAUAACUUGAUUGAUUAGGAAAAUGUAUUUUGCGCAACUUAUGUAACUAACAUGCUUGGUGUUAACAUCCUAAGUUGCGACCAUAAUACAUAUACAAAUCUAGGCAUAAACUCUUGGUUUAACGGAAAUAUAAAUCUAGCCCCCGCCGCAUCGCGGCAGGUUACUU